UUUACUGGCUUUUACCUGUAUAUCCAAGAGGUUAGACAUGAACCAUAACUUGUCUUUUUUGUUCUCUCUCUCCAAUGGCAGAUGGGAUGGCCCUGUAAGUUGUGCAGCACUGUUGUACCAACCAAGAGUGACAUUUUAAAGCAUUACAGACUGCAACAUGGGACCUUUGGACACAGCCAUUCCUUGCCUUGCAUUCAUAUUAAUGAAGCGGAAUCAACAUUUAUGUCCCAACUGGACAGGUACAUGCCAAAGCUCCUGGAGUGACUGCAGCGCAUCAAGAACUUGUUGAUGGAACUGAUACAGGACCCAAGUGCCUCUGCAGUGAAGAAGAGAGAUGUGACUGUGAGAUGCCUCAUAGAGUACGUGGGAGAGAGUGGACAGGAGCUAAUCUCUGACUACUGGAACUGCAGAGACCACUGUUCAUGAGGACCUGGAAAUGAAGAAUAUGAGCAUCUACAUCUGUCGUGAGCCAAAUGCAGUAGGAAUCAUCAUUGAGGGAGUACCAGUCCUUACUCAUCUUGGAAACCUGGUCAAAGCAUGCUGCCUACUUCCGGGGUUGACGUAUGCACUUAAUCUUGAGUAUCCAUCCAAACUUUCCAAAACAUUUGAGGUGUUUCAAAGACUUUUUGUGGGACUUGACACACUGCGCCCAAAACCAACCCCCAAAUUCAUGACUCUCAAAAACAAGUUUCUAGCUUAGGCAGUGAGCCAUGACUGUCAGCUUGCACUUUUGAACAGCUAUUUUCUUGUGUCUGUUCAAAAUCUUUAUACAUUGUUCAUUGAGUGGAAUUCUUCAGAAUGUUGUAACGGUUUGUCCUGUUCAGGUUUUAUACAAAGCUCCAGGUCAUCGUUUCUGGUGUGUAAAUUAAGUUUUUUUUAUGUUUUAUACACACUAAAUUGCCCCACUGUGAAGCUCCAGCUGGUCAGAAGGAGGGAUCUGUGAGUUGUUUAAGUUAAAAUGUUUCAAAAUAUACACACUGAAAGACACUACAGUGAAGGUGUUCUGCUUGUGAAUUGUUACAGAAGUACAGAUAAUCUUAAUGUUAAAUUGUUUUAGCAAGAAACUGUACUGUGAAUGUUCUAAGUAAAACUUGAGAUGCUGAGGUCAUGCAUUCUUUUAUGCACUAAAUACUGAUGUUCUUGACUGUUAAUACUGUCCAGCUUAUUGACAGGUUUGGAUAUGGCUUGUGAAAAUGUUUUAAUAUGUAUACGGUUAAAAAAAGAAAACUACUGUGAAGGUGUUCUAUACAGCACUUUAAAAAGUUGAGGUCAUGCAUUCUUGUAUAAUAUGGAUGUUGACUGUUCAUACUGUCCAGCUCAUUGCCACUGUUUUUAUAUGGUAAUGAUUUAAUAAAGGUUGGAAUUUGA